rnacentral:rRNA from 1 species
CGCCUCUUGUGCCCAUAAGAGGUCUAGCCUGCCCAGUGACUUAAUUCAACGGCCGCGGUACUCUAACCGUGCGAAGGUAGCGUAAUCACUUGUCUUCUAAAUAAAGACUAGUAUGAAAGGCAUCACGAGAGCUAAACUGUCUCCCUCUUCCAAUCAGUGAACCUAAUCCUCCCGUGAAGAAGCGGGAAUUUUUAAAUAAGACGAGAAGACCCUAUGGAGCUUAAAACACUAUUACACCUGCCCCAAACCACCACCGCAGGAUGAUUAUACGUUUUCGGUUGGGGUGACCACGGAGAAAAAACCAUCCUCCAUGAUGAAAGGACCUACUCCUAAACAACAAGCCACAACUUUACGCAUCAGUAAACUGACUCUAUUGACCCAAUAAAUUGAUUAACGAACCAAGUUACCCUAGGGAUAACAGCGCAAUCCACUUCAAGAGCCCCUAUCGACAAGUGGGCUUACGACCUCGAUGUUGGAUCAGGGUAUCCUAGUGGUGCAGCCGCUACUAAGGGUUCGUUUGUUCAACGAUUAAAACCCU